rnacentral:rRNA from 1 species
GCUUAACACAUGCAAGUCGAGGGGUAACAGAGUAGCUUGCUACUGCUGACGACCGGCGCACGGGUGCGUAACGCGUAUACAAUCUACCUUACACUGGAGAAUAGCCCUAAGAAAUUGGGAUUAAUGCUCCAUAGCAAUAUGAUAUCUCAUGGUAUUAUAUUUAAAGCUUCGGCGGUGUGAGAUGAGUAUGCGUCCUAUUAGUUAGUUGGUAAGGUAACGGCUUACCAAGACAGCGAUAGGUAGGGGUCCUGAGAGGGAGAUCCCCCACACUGGUACUGAGACACGGACCAGACUCCUACGGGAGGCAGCAGUGAGGAAUAUUGGACAAUGGAGGCGACUCUGAUCCAGCCAUGCCGCGUGUAGGAAGAAUGCCCUAUGGGUUGUAAACUACUUUUAUACAGGAAGAAACACUGGUAUGUAUACCAGCUUGACGGUACUGUAAGAAUAAGGACCGGCUAACUCCGUGCCAGCAGCCGCGGUAAUACGGAGGGUCCGAGCGUUAUCCGGAAUCAUUGGGUUUAAAGGGUCCGUAGGCGGACAGCUCAGUCAGUGGUGAAAGUUUGCAGCUCAACUGUAAAAUUGCCAUUGAUACUGGUUGUCUUGAAUUAAUGUGAAGUGGUUAGAAUAAGUAGUGUAGCGGUGAAAUGCAUAGAUAUUACUUAGAAUACCAAUUGCGAAGGCAGAUCACUAAUAAUAUAUUGACGCUGAGGGACGAAAGCGUGGGGAGCGAACAGGAUUAGAUACCCUGGUAGUCCACGCCGUAAACGAUGGAUACUAGUUGUUGGGCAUUAGCUCAGUGACUAAGCGAAAGUGAUAAGUAUCCCACCUGGGGAGUACGGUCGCAAGACUGAAACUCAAAGGAAUUGACGGGGGCCCGCACAAGCGGUGGAGCAUGUGGUUUAAUU